CGGGGCGUAGCGCAGUCUGGUAGCGCACUACGCUGGGGGUGUAGUGGUCGCGAGUUCGAAUCUCGCCGCCCCGACCA
rnacentral:tRNA from 2 species